rnacentral:rRNA from 1 species
UACGGAGGGGGCUAGCGUUAUUCGGAAUUACUGGGCGUAAAGCGCACGUAGGCGGCUUUGUAAGUCAGAGGUGAAAGCCUGGAGCUCAACUCCAGAACUGCCUUUGAGACUGCAUCGCUUGAAUCCAGGAGAGGUGAGUGGAAUUCCGAGUGUAGAGGUGAAAUUCGUAGAGAUCCGGAAGAACACCGGUGGCGAAGGCGGGUCUCUGGGCAUCUCCUGACGCUGAGGCGCGAAAGCGUGGGGAGCAAACGGG